rnacentral:rRNA from 1 species
GAUGAACGCUGGCGGCGUGCCUAAUACAUGCAAGUCGAGCGAACAGACGAGGAGCUUGCUCCUCUGACGUUAGCGGCGGACGGGUGAGUAACACGUGGAUAACCUACCUAUAAGACUGGGAUAACUUCGGGAAACCGGAGCUAAUACCGGAUAAUAUAUUGAACCGCAUGGUUCAAUAGUGAAAGACGGUUUUGCUGUCACUUAUAGAUGGAUCCGCGCCGCAUUAGCUAGUUGGUAAGGUAACGGCUUACCAAGGCAACGAUGCGUAGCCGACCUGAGAGGGUGAUCGGCCACACUGGAACUGAGACACGGUCCAGACUCCUACGGGAGGCAGCAGUAGGGAAUCUUCCGCAAUGGGCGAAAGCCUGACGGAGCAACGCCGCGUGAGUGAUGAAGGGCUUCGGAUCGUAAAACGCUGUUAUUAGGGAAGAACAAAUGUGUAAGUAACUAUGCACGUCUUGACGGUACCGAAGCAGAAAGCCACGGCUAACUACGU